AUUGAACGCUGGCGGCAGGCUUAACACAUGCAAGUCGAACGGUAACAUAAAGGAGCUUGCUUCUUUGAUGACGAGUGGCGGACGGGUGAGUAAUGCUCGGGGAUCUAGCUUAUGGAGGGGGAUAACUACGGGAAACUGUAGCGAAAACCGCGUAGAAGCGGUAGAGGAAAGUGUGGGACCUUCGGGCCACAUGCCCGAGGAUGAGCCCAAGUGGGAUUAGGUAGUUGGUGGGGUAAAGGCGCACCAAGAGGACGAUCUGUAGCUGGUCUGAGAGGAUGACCAGCCACACUGGAACUGAGACACGGCCCAGACUCCUACGGGAGGCAGCAGUGGGGAAUAUUGCGCAAUGGGGGCAAGCCUGACGCAGCCAUGCCGCGUGAAUGAAGAAGGCCUUCGGGUCGUAAAGUUCUUUCGGUGGCGAGGAAGGCAUUUAGUUUAAUAGCCUAGGUGAUUGACGUUAACUACAGAAGAAGCACCGGCUAACUCCGUG
rnacentral:rRNA from 1 species